GACGAACGCUGGCGGCGUGCUUAACACAUGCAAGUCGAACGGAAAGGCCCUGCUUGCAGGGUGCUCGAGUGGCGAACGGGUGAGUAACACGUGGGUGAUCUGCCCCUUACUUUGGGAUAAGCCUGGGAAACUGGGUCUAAUACUGGAUAGGACCAUGCUGUAGGUGGUGUGGUGGAAAGAUUAGUUUCGGUAAGGGAUGAGCUCGCGGCCUAUCAGCUUGUUGGUGGGGUAAUGGCCUACCAAGGCGUCGACGGGUAGCCGGCCUGAGAGGGUGGACGGCCACAUUGGGACUGAGAUACGGCCCAGACUCCUACGGGAGGCAGCAGUGGGGAAUAUUGCACAAUGGGCGCAAGCCUGAUGCAGCGACGCCGCGUGGGGGAUGACGGCCUUCGGGUUGUAAACUCCUUUCAGCCAUGACGAAGCCCUUGUGGUGACGGUAGUGGUAGAAGAAGCACCGGCCAACUACGUA
rnacentral:rRNA from 1 species